CAAGCUGGCCAGACAGUCGCUGCCUGCCAUUUGGUAGGGAGAGGAAAGUCCGGACUUCACAGAGCAGGGUGCCAGGUAACGCCUGGGCGGCGCAAGCCGACGGCAAGUGCAACAGAAAGUAUACCGCCGAUGGAAUCGCAAGAUUCACAGGUAAGGUUGAAAUGGUGCGGUAAGAGCGCACCGCACUGCUGGCAACAGUAUGUGGCGAGGUAAACCCCACCCGAAGCAAGACCAAAUAGGGUUCCGUAUGGCGUGGCUCGCGUUGGAACCGGGUAGGUUGCUUGAGCCAUGGAGUGAUCCAUGGCCUAGACGAAUGACUGUCCUAGACAGAAUCCGGCUUACCGGCCAGCUUAUUUU
rfam:Kangiella koreensis DSM 16069, complete genome.